UGUGCCCCCAGGAACAGCCUGAACGAGUAUUUCAAGGACAGCCGGAACGUGAAGAAGCUCAAAGACCCCACCAUGCGUUUCAAGCUGCUCAAGCACACCAGGCUCAACGUGGUGGCGUUUCUCAACGAGCUGCCCAAGACCCAGCACGACGUCAACUCCUUCGUGGUGGACAUCUGUGCCCAGACGAACACGCUGCUCUGCUUCACCGUCCACGGCAUUUUUAAGGAAGGUGAGUUCCCACUUGGAAUUUUGACUU